AUGGCUCAGAAUGAACGCUGGCGGCGUGCGUAACACAUGCAAGUCGAACGAGAAAUUCCGGGCUUGCUCGGGAGAGUAAAGUGGCGAACGGGUGAGUAACGCGUGGGUAACCUGCCCCUGAAUCUGGAAUAACUUCGCGAAAGCGAGGCUAAUACCGGAUAUUGUCCCAGGGACUAUGGUCCUUGUGAUGAAAGAUGACCUCUUCACGAAAGUUGUCGUUCAGGGAGGGGCCCGCGUACCAUUAGCUAGUUGGUAGGGUAAUGGCCUACCAAGGCGAUGAUGGUUAGCUGGUCUGAGAGGAUGACCAGCCACACUGGCACUGAAACACGGGCCAGACUCCUACGGGAGGCAGCAGUGAGGAAUUUUGCGCAAUAGGGGAAACCCUGACGCAGCAACGCCGCGUGAGUGAAAGAAGGCCCUCGGGUCGUAAAGCUCUGUCAAGUGGGAAAAAAGCUUACUGGUAAAUAGCCAGGAAGACUGAUGGUACCAUUGAAGGAAGCACCGGCUAACUCCGUGCCAGCCGCUGC
rnacentral:rRNA from 1 species